rnacentral:rRNA from 1 species
UGGGGAAUUUUGGACAAUGGGCGAAAGCCUGAUCCAGCAAUGCCGCGUGUGUGAAGAAGGCCUUCGGGUUGUAAAGCACUUUUGUCCGGAAAGAAAUCCUUGGCUCUAAUACAGUCGGGGGAUGACGGUACCGGAAGAAUAAGCACCGGCUAACUACGUGCCAGCAGCCGCGGUAAUACGUAGGGUGCAAGCGUUAAUCGGAAUUACUGGGCGUAAAGCGUGCGCAGGCGGUUUGCUAAGACCGAUGUGAAAUCCCCGGGCUCAACCUGGGAACUGCAUUGGUGACUGGCAGGCUAGAGUAUGGCAGAGGGGGGUAGAAUUCCACGUGUAGCAGUGAAAUGCGUAGAGAUGUGGAGGAAUACCGAUGGCGAAGGCAGCCCCCUGGGGCCAAUACUGACGCUCAUGCACGAAAGCGUGGGGAGCAAACAGGAUUAGAUACCCUGGUAGUCCACGCCCUAAACGAUGUCAACUAGUUGUUGGGGAUUCAUUUCCUAGUAACGUAGCUAACGCGUGAAGUUGACCGCCUGGGGAGUACGGUCGCAAGAUUAAAACUUAAAUGAAUUGACGGGGUCAUAGCUGUUUCCU